AGUGAACGCUGGCGGUAGGCCUAACACAUGCAAGUCGAACGGCAGCACAGUAAGAGCUUGCUCUUACGGGUGGCGAGUGGCGGACGGGUGAGGAAUACAUCGGAAUCUACUUUUUCGUGGGGGAUGACGUAGGGAAACUUACGCUAAUACCGCAUACGACCUACGGGUGAAAGCAGGGGAUCUUCGGACCUUGCGCGAUUGAAUGAGCCGAUGUCGGAUUAGCUAGUUGGCGGGGUAAAGGCCCACCAAGGCGACGAUCCGUAGCUGGUCUGAGAGGAUGAUCAGCCACACUGGAACUGAGACACGCUCCAGACUCCUACGGGAGGCAGCAGUGGGGAAUAUUGGACAAUGGGCGCAAGCCUGAUCCAGCCAUACCGCGUGGGUGAAGAAGGCCUUCGGGUUGUAAAGCCCUUUUGUUGGGAAAGAAAAGCAGCAGGUUAAUACCCCGCUGUUCUGACGGUACCCAAAGAAUAAGCACCGGCUAACUUCGUG
rnacentral:rRNA from 1 species